CUCCUAAGUCAAAAGUCAUGAGUGGGUUUGGAAAUUGCAGGUAGGCUCAUAAAGUGAUGGGGAGGUUGGUGGCCUGGGGGUGAGUAAAACCUGAAAUUUGAGGAAGGGCAGGUGGAUCCCAGGGUGACUAGGGACUAAUUAGGACAACCAUCCUGGGCCACCUCAUAGCCCCGGGCAGAGAGGCAGGAUGUAUAAAAGCUGGGGAGACUCCUAGCUUCCCAAACCCUGCGGCAGCUCCAAGAUACAGUUGCCAGUCACCUUGGUGUACGUGCAGCCCAGAAUGUCUCAACAGAAGCAGAAGCAGUGCUGCCCUCCUCCCCAGCAGUGUGCUCCCCCUCCCCAACAGUGUGCUCCUCCUCCCCAGCAGUGUGCUCCUCCUCCCCAGCAAUGUGCUCCCCCUCCUCAGCAAUGUGCCCCCCCACCUCAGCAGUGCUGCCCCCCUCCCCAGCAGACCAAGCAGCCCUGCCAGCCUCCACCCAAGUGCCAGCAGAAGUGCCCACCCCCUCAGCAGUGCCAGAAGUCCAAGCAGAAGUAAGACCCUGACCCUGUGUCCACAGGCCCAACUCCCCUGGAGAAACCCCUUCUGCAAAGGGCCAGCCGCUGCCUCACUCACCUGUACACCGCCUUCCUGCCUCCAUCCCCAUGUCUCACCAGUGAGCAGCCACCUGGCAGACAAGACCUGGCGCCGACCGCCUCAUUACCUCCACCAACAUGUACUUGCACCGACCCGCCUGCUGCAGCCCAAGGCAGCUCUCCCCAUGCACUGGCCUGCCGCCCUGAGUGUCUGCUCCUGUGCCUGUACCAUUAAACCCUAGCUCUCUGGCA